rnacentral:rRNA from 1 species
CCUACGGGAGGCUGCAGUGGGGAAUAUUGCACAAUGGGCGCAAGCCUGAUGCAGCCAUGCCGCGUGUGUGAAGAAGGCCCUCGGGUUGUAAAGCACUUUCAGCGGGGAGGAAGGCGUUAAGGUUAAUAACCUUGGCGAUUGACGUUACCCGCAGAAGAAGCACCGGCUAACUCCGUGCCAGCAGCCGCGGUAAUACGGAGGGUGCAAGCGUUAAUCGGAAUUACUGGGCGUAAAGCGCACGCAGGCGGUCUGUCAAGUCGGAUGUGAAAUCCCCGGGCUCAACCUGGGAACUGCAUUCGAAACUGGCAGGCUAGAGUCUUGUAGAGGGGGGUAGAAUGCCAGGUGUAGCGGUGAAAUGCGUAGAGAUCUGGAGGAAUACCGGUGGCGAAGGCGGCCCCCUGGACAAAGACUGACGCUCAGGUGCGAAAGCGUGGGGAGCAAACAGGAUUAGAUACCCGUGUAGUC